rnacentral:rRNA from 1 species
UACGGAGGGGGCUAGCGUUGUUCGGAAUUACUGGGCGUAAAGCGCACGUAGGCGGCUUUGUAAGUUAGAGGUGAAAGCCCGGGGCUCAACUCCGGAAUUGCCUUUAAGACUGCAUCGCUCGAAUUGUGGAGAGGUAAGUGGAAAUUCCGGAGUGUAGAGGUGAAAUUCGUAGAUAUUCGGAAGAAACACCAGUGGCGAAGGCGACU